AUACGGAAGGCAGCAGUGGGGAAUCUUAGACAAUGGGCGCAAGCCUGAUCUAGCCAUGCCGCGUGAUCGAUGAAGGCCUUAGGGUUGUAAAGAUCUUUCAGUGGGGAAGAUAAUGACUGUACCCACAGAAGAAGCCCCGGCUAACUCCGUGCCAGCAGCCGCGGUAAUACGGAGGGGGCUAGCGUUGUUCGGAAUUACUGGGCGUAAAGCGCACGUAGGCGGACCGGAAAGUCAGAGGUGAAAUCCCAGAGCUCAACUUUGGAACUGCCUUUGAAACUCCUGGUCUUGAGGUCGAGAGAGGUGAGUGGAAUUCCGAGUGUAGAGGUGAAAUUCGUAGAUAUUCGGAGGAGCACCAGAGGCGAAGGCGGCUCACUGGCUCGAUACUGACGCUGAGGUGCGAAAGCGUGGGGAGCAAACAGGAUUAGAUACCCCGGUA
rnacentral:rRNA from 1 species